rnacentral:misc_RNA from 1 species
UCCAGUUUGUCACCGGCAGUCACCUUAGAGUGCCCAACUAAAUGCUGGCAACUAAGAGCAGGGGUUGCGCUCGUUGCGGCACUUAAGCCAACACCUCACGGCACGAGCUGACGACAGCCAUGCAGCACCUGUGCAGGGCCCCGAAGGACACGGGCUUUCACCCGCUUUACCCUGCAUGUCAAGCCCAGGUAAGGUUCUUCGCGUUGCAUCGAAUUAAGCCACAUGCUCCGCCGCUUGUGCAGGUCCCCGUCAAUUCCUUUGAGUUUUAGCCUUGCGGCCGUACUCCCCAGGCGGGGUGCUUAAUGCGUUAGCUUCGGCACGGAAAGGGUUGAUGCUCCCCACACCUAGCACCCAUCGUUUACGGCUGGGACUAC